GACGAACCGUACGAACGUUAUUCGGAAUUACUGGGCUUAAAGGGUGCGUAGGCUGCGCGGAAAGUUGGGUGUGAAAUCCCUCGGCUCAACCGAGGAACUGCGCCCAAAACUACCGUGCUCGAGGGAGACAGAGGUGAGCGGAACUUAGGGUGGAGCGGUGAAAUGCGUUGAUAUCCUAAGGAACACCCGUGGCGAAAGCGGCUCACUGGGUCUCUUCUGACGCUGAGGCAC
rnacentral:rRNA from 1 species